UACGAGAGGUCCAAACGUUAUUCGGAAUCACUGGGCUUACAGAGUUCGUAGGUGGUUCUACAAGUGAGGUGUGAAAGCCCUCGGCUCAACCGAGGAACUGCGCUUCAAACUGUAGAACUAGAGGGAGAUAGAGGUGAGCAGAACUGAUGGUGGAGCGGUGAAAUGCGUUGAUAUCAUCAGGAAUACCGGAGGCGAAGGCGGCUCACUGGGUCUCUUCUGACGCUGAGGAACGAAAGCUAGGGGAGCAAACGGG
rnacentral:rRNA from 1 species